GAGCUGGCGACUCAAUCUCCCAAGAUUCCGCCGACCAAGGAGGAGCCACUGAAGUAGACGUGAACAGAUCCCACUCGAUGAAGGCGGACGCUUGCUGUCACAACACAGGUAUCACGAAGAGCUGAGGCUAUUAAAGACACCAGUUUUCGACGACGAAUGCGCUCGGCUGCCGUCUGGUUCCGAGGGAAUCCUGUGACGCCAUCACAGCUCCGGUGCUGUUCUUUCUGAUAUUUGGACCUGAAAAAUAAAAAGACAGCAAGCAGGGAUCAGGCAGCGCACAAGAUAUUUUGUUCCAGGAAUACAGAAAACGGCGGGACUAUUCAUGGCUAAAACCUAUAUUCCGCUCCAUCCAUAGCAGACGACGCU